rnacentral:rRNA from 1 species
UACGUAGGUGGCAAGCGUUAUCCGGAAUUAUUGGGCGUAAAGAGCGCGCAGGUGGUUGAUUAAGUCUGAUGUGAAAGCCCACGGCUUAACCGUGGAGGGUCAUUGGAAACUGGUCGACUUGAGUGCAGAAGAGGGAAGUGGAAUUCCAUGUGUAGCGGUGAAAUGCGUAGAUAUAUGGAGGAACACCAGUGGCGAAGGCGACUUUCUGGUCUAUUAUUGACGCUGAGGCUCGAAAGACAUGGGUAGCAAACAGGAUUAGA